rnacentral:rRNA from 1 species
CAGUCGUACCUUCGGGUAAUCAGCCUUUCGGGUGCGAUUCUGUGGAGUGUGAGGAGCUUAAACACCUUCAUGUUUUGCAUAUUCGUACUCUUGGGUAUACUUGCUCGUAUGGGUUGGUUAACAUCAAUUUUGGUGGUCAUAAAAUGACUGGAGGAAUGUAGCUUCGAUCUUGUAUUGAGUUGUUAUAGCCAUCGGUA